CCAAAACUAAGAUGUCUCCACCAGUGAGUGAUUGGCCUAGAGGCAUGAAGUGACAGGACAGUACUUCAAAAUUAAUUUACUUAAGUGAUGUUUCUGGUCUUUCUAGAGUGGUCACCUCUGUGGGACAUUGGUUUUAUAAGCUAAAUGCACAUUUCUCAGUGUAUAAUAAUCACUAUCCCCUUAAGCCCCAUAGGGCGACAUAAAUCUACUUUAAAAAAAUUCUGCAGUGACAUGUCCAUGCAUAUGAUAGUUCAAGUUCCUAUAGUAAAAACACCAUCAACUGUCCAAGUUUCUGUUCUUGAAAACAAUAUCAAUAUAUUGCGUCUGUAGUAAAAAAGUUGUAUUUUUGUAACUGCUUCGUGAAUCAUUGCAAAAAUUGAGCAAAUAAAAAUAUUCUCUGCUUUGAAAUUUAUGUUUUAUCCUCAAAGUGGAUAAAAAAAGAAAGUGAUAUGCAGUCUCGUGAUCCAGAUGUUGAAGUGAAGAAGGAUACAGCACACAGAAAAUAGGUUUAAAGCAUCAGGCUGAAAAUGUAUUAACCUAAUUUUAGAAUUCCAUGUUCCAAUCAGUCCCCGGUUCUUAACUGUAGAAGAUAUGGCUUCAUGCCGAUGACAGGAGAUGGUUUUCUUUCUACCUAUGCUCUUCAAGUCACUGGGAGAUUCAUCUCAUUGCUCAGCAGGAGUAAGGAUAGGGAUAAUGUACUGUUCUCUCUUCACUAGGCUUGAAAGGUUCCUCCUGCUGCAAGGAUCAUGGUCAAAUAUCACCUGGCCCCAAACCUGAGUUUACCUGGGGAUCUACUCCAUGGAUUUGUUGAGAAGCUAAAAUCGUGAUGAUGGUACACAGUUAUCAUCCUGCCCCAUGUUCCUGCAAGUCCUCACAGAAGCAGUGUGGAUCCGAUGUUCCUGGUCCCUCGAUGAAGCAAUUCAGCUCUUCAUGCAACGCCCAGGACGUGUUAUGCUCCAUCUCAGCAAGAACGUAGAGCCAGAAUUCACUAUCAACUUGAAACACAGAAGAGCAUCCAAGGUCCUGAUCCAAGGUCGUUUCUGUUCUGCUCAACACUUUCACGUGGAGGCACCUGCUUGCUUCCUUGUCUGUAAUGAAAUCUGAACACAGGCUUAAAGAUCCGAAAGUCCAAGUGUUGCGACGAACGGAGAUGAACUGGUGGUUUGCCAUCCUGGGCUCAGCCGCUCAUCUCUCCUCAUCCUCUUCAGCAAAAAACGUGAGUAGCUGCAUUCAAAGCAGUACAUAGCAAUCAUCCAUCUCACCUUUGAAGCCUGAGUUUGUUGGCUUUUGGGCUUAAUCAUAACCAUUAGCUUCCAUUUAAUCUCUGAACCCAGUCACCCCGGCUCUCACAAACGUGCCAGCCGCCCUGUCUGCUGAGUCUGUAUAGCCACUGAGCCCUUGUUACCACUCAUUUGAUUUCUCCAUCACCUUUGUUGCCUUGCCUUGAUCCUCACCAUAACAUGGCUGGUUUAUGGUACCUUGCAGAGAAAUUUGGGGGUUCAUUUUCUAAUGCAAUGAGUUAUUUAUUUCUGACAUCCUAAUCUUCUUUUAAGAUCUUUUUUUCUUUUUUUCCUUUUUUUACUGAGCCUUUAGAACAGCAUAUUUCACUGUGUUUAUGUGGUAGAAGCACAUAAUAAAACUAUAACAACUAUUCUAGAAAUUUCA
rnacentral:lncRNA from 1 species